AAGAACCAAAGUUACUACUAUGUUUCUUCCUCUUUUUUCUUUGUCCCUUCUCUUUCUCUCCUUUUAACAAGGAGAGUUAAACUAAGCUAUCAAGAAAGGACUGUUAACGGAGAAGGGAUAACCUCAUUUUACGGAUCAUAAGCUCAAGAAUUUUGUGGCAACGUCAGACAAUUUCAAAAAGUAAUUUAUAGUAUCUAUAGUUGGAAUUUGAGCUCUAAAUGGUAAAUUCUUUAUUCUAUUUUUGAAUAUGAUUAUAGAUAAGCAUUUGGGGUUAUUUAAUUUGAAUCUUUACACUAUAUCUUGAAGUGGGUUCGAUUAGUUAGUGUUCUUGAAUAAAAGGUAAAAGUUGAAUUGGAUAGAAUUGAUGGAAUUAUGUAUUAGGUGAACUGAUAACUCGCUCGCAGUGAAGUAAGUCGUUCUAUAUAUAAGUAUGUUUAGAGAAUUUUCUUCAUCAAGAAUAGAAGUUGGUGAUUGUGUAAACACUAUUAAUGAAGGUUAUGGAGCUUUAUGUCCACUAGGUGUUCGAUAAAAUGUCUUAGUGAUUUAAUUAUUUCAUUUCAUAGUCGAGUAUGGCGUAAAUAAAUUAUGGUUAUGUAUAUUGAAUCUUUGGGGUCGUUUGGAACCCGCAAAUCUACUUUAUCUAUGAAGUCCUCAAGAUUUCCUAUUGUAGAAUAAAGGAGCAGCCCAUUGUAUAUUGUGGAAUUCAGAAUUGACGUAUGUAAAGCUAAAACCUCCUUCCCCUUCAAGGCACCACCUGUAAUCAUUUGUUCCUCCUAAAAUAACCGAGAUAGUUUACUUGAUAUAUGUGAAUAGAGUUUACGGUUUCUUUAUGCC
rnacentral:lncRNA from 1 species